UCCGGCUUGUCACCGGCAGUCCCUCCAGAGUGCCCAACUUAGUGAUGGCAACUAAAGGCGAGGGUUGCGCUCGUUGCGGGACUUAACCCAACAUUUCACAACACGAGCUGACGACAGCCAUGCACCACCUGGGCACCACCCUCAAGGGCGACGGUCUUUCAACCGCUUGCAGGUGCCUGUCAAGCCCUGGUAAGGUUCUUCGCGUUGCAUCGAAUUAAGCCACAUGCUCCACCGCUUGUGCGGGCCCCCGCCAAUUCCUUUGAGUUUCAACCUUGCGGCCGUAGUCCCCAGGCGGUUCACUUAAUGCGUUAGCUGCGGCACCGCGUUGAAAACGCGACACCUAGUGAACAUAGUUUAGGGCCAAGACUAC
rnacentral:misc_RNA from 1 species